AGAGAAAGGGAAAAAUGAAAGUGGAUGGUUCAAGCAGAGAUAAUUGAACUUUGUUUCCUCAUGCAGACAGACCAACAACUGGCCUGCGCUAAAUGGAUUGUAGGAGAUUUGAUACAAACUCUGGGGAGUUAAAACAUUGUUCCCUGACAUCUUUCCCACAGAGGUCUGCUUAAUGGCAACCUCCAUUCACAGAGCUCCGUCUGAGGGUAAAUCAGGGCAGUUUCUCACGCUGAAGCAUCUAUUAUUCUGGAUGUUUGGGUUUACGAAGAUGAGGGCUGCACGUGAAAUCACUUAUUAACUCCCGUUAGACCACAGAGGAGGAU
rnacentral:lncRNA from 1 species